GAGGCAGUGGCUGAGUGGUAAAGCACUGGGCUUUCAAACUAAGGGGACCUGGGUUCAAAACCUGGUGAUUUUU
rnacentral:tRNA from 1 species